GACUUACUGGGCGUAAAGGGUGCGCAGGCGGUGUCGUGCGUCCACGCUGAAAUCAUACGGCUUAACCGUGUGGCGCGUGUGGAUACGACGAUACUUGAGGCUCUGAGAGGGUAGUGGAACUCCUGGUGUAGUGGUGAAAUGCGUAGAGAUCAGGAAGAACACCCGUGGCGCAAGCGACUACCUGGCAGAGACCUGACGCUGAGGCACGAAAGCGUGGGGAGUGAACCGGAUUAGAUACCCGGGUAAUCCACGCCGUAAACGAUGUCGACUCGGGGUGUGGUUGCCUUACGGCGACUGCGUCCCCAAGCUCACGCGGAAGUCGACCGCCUGGGGACUACGAGCGCAAGCUUAAAACUCAAAGGAAUUGACGGGGGCCCGCACAAGCAGCGGAGCGUGUGGUUUAAUUCGACGCAACGCGCAGAACCUUACCCAGAUUUGACAUGCCCGUGCAAGCCGAUGAAAGUCGGUCGCCUUCGAGGGUCGGGCGCAGAUGCUGCAUGGCU
rnacentral:rRNA from 1 species